rnacentral:lncRNA from 1 species
UUUUUUUUUUUUUUUAAAUAAAAAAAACAUCCACAGUUGUUCUAUGGUUAAAGAACAGUAAUCUAUCCACAUGGAAUAUAUGCAGUUAGCCUUGUUUCCUCCUUGCUUACUUUCUCCUUCUGCUAGUGUAAUUUGACUGACAAGAUUUUUCCAAACACCAAACUAGGAUAAACUGCAGUUGCAUGCAACAGGUGAAGGGGAAUAACCACCAGGCUUUUAACAAAUCAGGAAUAUGUGCACAGGGCAGAUACUGAAAUGCAUAAACUUUGCAGUGCUUUACAAAAACAGCCAAAGGCAGAGCCACACAGCUGUAGCUGUAGGGUGUCUGUGCUUCAAUUCCCACUCUCCCCUUCCCCUCAAGGCAGCUACUGCUGAGCUGUGACAGCUGAGCUGCAUGUGAAGCAACACUUAAACCACUUGAAGUUUUCAAGUUGACCAUGUUAAAGCAAACUCCCCUUACCCAAGCAUGGGAGUAAAAGGAAGCCCAAGGCAUGAUUCUUCAGGGAGGUAGAACACCCCAAGUGACACAUCCCCUGGUGCCUGAGGAGGGCCAUUUGCACAUAUGAAUGGCCAGGAAACCCAGGACACAGUGGUUUGCACCUGCUUUGCCCAGAUGCACAUGCCUACACCCUGCCAGUGCAAUGAGGGACACGCUCUGAGUCACAUCCAGUGCAAAGUCAGGUCUGAGCCGACCACAUAUAAACACUUGCUAGAAGCCAGCCUGUGAAACAGGCUUUCCUCACUAUUGAUCCUACGGAGCUACACACCCCCUGGCAUUGAAGCACCAUGUCUAAAAAGCAUCCCAAACAUAAGGAGAAACAGCAAUGACUGUCAAACCUAGAAGCAAUCGAAACUCCAUAGGCAAGUCAUGUAUCACCUAUGGUGUCUGAGUAUCACUUGGCUGCAUGCAAAACUGCUGACUGACCAGUGCAAAGGCCUGAAUUAAAUGAAUUUUAAAUGAGUUUUCACUGACUAUCUUCACUUUCCUAGACUGCUGCAAUAUAAAAUUAAACAGGUCUGUAUUGAUCAUAAGGGAAGGUAACAAAACAUGUCAACCCCUUGUGUGGUGCUUGGUAGAGCAGACCCAGGGAAUGUUGCACUUCAGGGCACAUAGUUGGGUUUGACUGGCCAAAGACAUUUCUCGGCUCCCCCUCUGAACUGGCAAAGCUGACUUCUGCCACUCCAACGAUAAAAGGCCAGGACUGGGACUGGCUCUUACCACUCCAGAGAACAUAGAAAUGGUCAAGCUGUUACAGGGAGCUGACAGAAGAUAUUGGAGAGUUGGAUAUGCCGUCAUAACACCAUCACAGGAGGUGGAAAUAGCAGAGAUGGGAGCAGGGCAGUACUUUGUAUCCUCCCAUUCCAGCUUCCCAAGCUCUGCUCUAAAAUACCUAGGAAAGCUACCACCAUUCCAGCUGCUUACUUUGCCACCAAAGUGACAGCCAACUUAAGUUAGCAUUCCUCAUGUCUUGCUAGGGAUUUACAUGGCUGUGCCCUACACGCUGAAAGCUCCCCCUGCUUAUGUGCUGGGAGGGGCAGAGCUCCUCCUGCCUGGCACAGAGUUACCUCAGCCCUGGGCUGCGUGCUGCCCAGCUCGCACCUUGGCAGCACUUGGAUUCACACACGCCACACAAUGCCUUCACACACAUAUAUUUAUCAAGCUAAAAAAAAAAAUCUGGUUAGCUGUUGUGUUGGCUGUGAGGCCGAGUUGCGCUAUCUAGGAGGUAAAAAGAGGCCAAAUGGAGCUGUAAAAAUCUCACAAGCCAGCAAAAUAAGGAGGGCAGCAUUCUGGUGGGAGGUUGGAUAUUUACUGGAGUGGAAGAAUUCCAAUACAGAAAUGAUUCAUCUUCACGGCAUGGUCCCUCCUCCCAUCGUAGAAAAAAAUUUCCUUUUUACAUAUUUCCUGGAAUAUGUGAUUGUACUAGAAGAGCAUUUUCUGCUCCUGUUAUGAAAGGGAAUCCAGUCCAGUGGGACAAAAUCAUUCUUGGAAUAACUUUCAGUGAAAUCAAGAGUUACAACUGGACUGACUUCAGUGUUACAAGUCCUUGGGAUAUUGGUGGCUGCUGCAGUCAUGUUUUUGUAGGCAGUCUGGAUCUACAAGUUUUCCUAGUAUAAUAAUUGCAGUAAGAACUGUGAGGUUUUGUAACCAAACUCAUUUAUGCUGGCAAAAAUCCCUUCUUUGGAUGAUAGAGAGGUGACUUAUACCACUUAAUUUCUUCCAGUUUUUUCUUGGGAGUUGCUCUUCUAUUAUGUCUUUAUGCUGUCAGCACAAGAGGUGUAAAUGGUUACUUCUGCAUUGUUGUAACAGUACCCUUUUCUAGCAUAGACAAGCUAAAAUGUCCAAACUAUUUUAUUUUGUAUAAUGCAUAUAUUAGGAUAUGGUUGGGGAAGAAAGAAACAACUAUCUUAAAACAAAAUAGAUUGAUGACCUACAAUAGCCUGCAAGAUAAAUUCUGUGUGACAGUAAGAGAACAGAAUUCACCAAAAUAAUCUAGAUUAUUUUCUUUCAUUAUUUUUAUCGCAGUUGGGAUAUUUAUUUCCUAAGCAAUCUCUAUAAACAUCUGCAUGAACUUAUAGCCUGUAUAUGUCUCUUUUCAUUUCUAAGAUCCAAGUUAAUCUUGUUUGCAGCAUGCAAAGAACUUGAGCAGGAUGUGAUAGCACUUUAUGUCACCCCCACUUAGAAGUGCAGUAGCCCUGCAGUGGGACACCUACAGAUUUGCCAUUGCCAGUUUGACUGCAGAUGGUCUAAGGAAUUUCUGGGAAGCAGAUGUUUCCUGAGGUAUCUCCUGGAAGUGAAAGGGAGCAUGAUAAAGAGAGAAAAGUUGCAGGGGUAAAAAUCUAAUCAGGGGGAAAUACAGCAUCACCUUGAAGGUGGGAUUUCACCUUGUAUUUUGUGCUGGAAAGAAUGGAGAUAGGCUUGGAAGGUUCUUAAAGCAAAGAUAAGCAGGUGUGUUUUAUGGUUUAAAAUCAGUGAAACUCAAUCUGUGCUUGUAGAGAGCAGCUUUACAAUAUUUCCCCAUGUAUGGCACACAGAGCAAAGUCGUUCCACCCAUUGUGCACAGCAAAGAAGCCCAUACAUACAUACAGAGAAAUACCAUCAGCCACAAUAUAAAUGGACUUGUAUAAGUUGGGUUGAAUUCUUCUCUUACUGAGGUAAGGAGAUCAGUGGAAAGGUGUGACAAAACAGCAAGCAAAGAAAACAACUUUUGUAGCAGCCCUGUCAAUGUGUAUACAGCUGCAGGGUCAAUGAGUGUAUGUCUCACAACCAGAGAAAGGAUGUUGCAGCAAACAGGGUAUAAAAGAAGGAGAGUCUGGCAGAGUUUGGGCUACCAGGCUGGCUAAAAAAAAGAAUGUAUCUUGUAGCUAUUACUAAAAAAUAGUCUGCAAGACUAAAAAUAGCAUGGAUAUACCAACAUCUAAAAAGAGAUCAAAAAUGAAGCCCAUAAAGAUUGUAAGUCAUAUGAGAUGCAGAACUUUAGAGCUUAUAAAAGACAGUCAUGAAAAUUAAAUUAUACCAAUUCACACUACCUAGUUUCAAUCUCCAAUCAACAGAGCCAAAACAAGCAGACAGCUUUAUUUACUGGGUUUUUUUGUUUUGUUUUGUUUUUAGGAUUUACAAACUGGAACUGCUGUAUGCCAGACCUCUCAUGCUUUUCAUAUACAGACCGUGUUUCCUGCUAGCACAGGCCUCUCUUCUGCCAGCACCUCAAGCAUGUGCUUUGGUGGCUACCUCAAAAAGUGCCUGGAGGACUGAAAAGGUAAGAAGCAAGAAAUUGUCUGUGUCUGGAGGAACAGGCUGUGUGAAUUCCACUCUGCAGGUCAGACAUCUGUGUCAGGUUUUCAGGGUUUUUCAAAGUAUUUCAUGUGCCACCUUCGAUGACCACCAAAGAAAGUUGGUGUCCUGAUCUUGAACAGGCAGCAGCAGAUCUGACUGAACAGGGACCAGCAGCUCACACAGGCAGCUGCUUAGCAAGUCCUGGCACCACCAGGGGUGUAGCCAGCUGCCUGGGGGCAUUUUAGACUUUAGUUACAGACCCAGGACCCUUAGUUAAGCAUAUAUCCUGCUAGAAUACUCUAAUCUUUCAUCAGAUUUAAGCCUCCAUCCCUUCUCAGGGUUAUUAAGGAUUAGUUCAGCAUUUGCAACGGGACCCAGAUAGAUGAAGAGCUUAAGGUGAAAGGACAAGCUAAGCAGAGGGGCUGCAGCAGAGAUCCUUGUCCCAUCUGGGGAACAGCACAGAGCCCUGUCAUUUGUGCUGUGUGCUGCUGCAAGCAUUUGACACAAGCUGGCUCAGCACGAGCAGUGCCUGCAUGAGAACACCAGGCUCAGGUGAGACAAGGAGAGCCACAGGAGGGGCAGGCAGGUUGCUGAGGCAGCUGCAGCAACCCCUGGGGCAGCAUGGGAAAAGGAAGGGAGGGAACAACUUUACUCAAAGCCCUGCUUGUGCAGUUAUAGUCUGUCUGCAGCCAUAUGGACCCAGGCAGGCUGGAGACUCAAGUCUUCUUCCAGCUGUUGUUGAAGUGUCAGUACCUCAGCCCAAUCCCACCCUGGCUGUUACCAUUCUCCUCCUAACCACCACUACCCUCCCAGUUUUGUCAGCAAAACUGUUUGUAUGCUUUGCCUGGUCUUCUGGAAUUAAAGUGAGUCGUGCUAGCUCAGGCAAUUGAAACACAAGGUCUGCCUGUAUCUAGUUCAAUGCUAGUAAAUAGGUCAAGGAAAGCUGAAGGGGUGUGUGUGCCUGAGAACUGGCUGAGUGGUAAUAACCUCAGCCAACAGACCUGGAGUUAACACACUGACUUGGGCACCUCUGUGCUGAUCCACCCCAUGCACCCAGGAGAUUACUUUGGUUUGUGUUCAGUGCAAGCUACACCAAGAGGGUGAAUCUGGUCAGAGGAACUCCAGAUGUGACCAACACUUUUUCAUCCCUAUAUGCUCCAUUGAGGUCCAACUGGGUCAAGCAGGGCCACACCACACUGCACACACUGCCAGGGGCACAGUCCCUCCCUCCCGGAACAACAGGGUAUGGAAGGUCCUAGCCAUGCAGGUUGCAUCCCCUCUGCCUCAGCACACAAGCACAUGAUGCUGCUGAGCUGUCUUCUCACACCAGCAGUUUUUAUGCCCCUAGUUGCUUGCAGCUAGUGAGACAUAGUUUUGGUGAUGCUUUAAACACUCAGAUUGUGACUACUGGGGCCUAGCAAUGCUCUUCUCCUAGGUGUAGUAUGUGUCCUGUGGUGUAGAUGGGUUUGGGGUUGAGCUUAUGAGAGCACAGAAUUUGCAAGUUCUCACCUCUUCCUUCCUUCCUUCUCAAGCACUCUCAAAUCAAGAUGCCACAAACAAACCACUUUCUUGCAAGUACCUGUAGUACUGUUUUAUGUAAUUCAGACUGCAAAAUCACUUUCUCCGGGUACCUUAGCAGGCAUCAGUGUGAGAUUCUCUGACAAGGGAUCCAAGGAGACCUGGUGUUGACUUCUGGGUACAACAAGAACAUUACUCUCUAAACAAGAUAAUUAUCAAGAGGGUGCUUAUGCCCAUUCUUGUUUUUGGGGAUUCUCCUCUCUCUUUGCCACCAUGACUCACAAAACUUAUUAAGCCAAAGUAUGCCUAGCAGAACCAUUUAAUUACACAGCAGUUGCAGGGCAGUGACAGAAUCUGUGUUUAACAGGCUGACAGCAAGAUGGCUUUAUCUACAAAGCUGUUUAGAUGUCAGUAUAGUCAGUGCCACCCAUAAGGUUGGGCAAGCCAUACCAGGCACCAAACCAGCAAGGAGGAAAGUAAAAUUUGUGUCAGGAGUAGGCUCAAGAGACUAGUGAUUUGCAUAAACAGUCUGAAAACCUGCCCGUCAUCACCAUGUCUGGGGCAAUGUGUGGAAACAUUAUCUGGUGAAUCAACAGCCUUACACUGCACAGUGACCUAGAUAGGAAAUACGAUGCAAAAAGGGAGAAGGUGAGACUGUGCACUGCUGUAACACAAAGAUCAGGUUAUUUGCUGCUGCUUUUAUUCUAGCUAUGAGUUUAACAGUCAAUAAACCACUUGAAAACAAGUUCUAGCCUCUCCCUUCUUUCUCAGAUGCUCUCACAGCAACACAGCAAGCAGCCAGACCAAUUUAUGAACAAUGUAUUUCAGUAGUUAGCAAAAUGUUAACAAAAUAUUCUUAAAACCACACAACACAUCUCAGCUAUGGGUCCACGACUUCAACGUGUCUGAGAAGCUGCUCAGAGGGAUUACAUAAACAUUGGAGUGACUACUUCCCACUGGUGUGUGUGAACAGGCUUGUUUACAUUAAGAAACUCUUUCCAUUGUGGCCUUUGAGAUUGCAGUAGACUAUUCAGUUGCAGCAGGCUAGGAUAUGUGAGAAUGACUUUGCUCAGUGCUAUAAAAAAACAAAGGGAAGUUUUUGGGAGCUAAUGCAUGACACUUAGAUAAUCCCCUCCCAUUUGUACAUUUUGUCCCGAUUACUUGGAAGCCAAGCACGACCAAGUGAUUUGUCAUCAGUUUUGGUUUUGUGAGGUUUUUCUCCUUGUAAUUUACCUUACAAUUAGCACUUUGUAUCAUAUAUUCUAGCCCAUCUAAGGGCUGGUCUUAAAAUUCCACCAUAAAACCUCAGCACACUGAAAGAAGUAAGCACUGUUCUGGUACAGAAAACACUCCUCCCUCACCAUUAGAGAGAUGAAGGAAUUGUAAGCUUUUUUAAACAAAUUGUAGCUGGAUGAUACUUUCAGGAAGGCAGAGGAAUGAUAGCCUUGUCGGGCAGUGGCUCAGUUUUCCUAUAUUAUUAUUAUUUCCAUAUUGUUUUUAUAUCAACAAAAUAAAGGUUUCUCUUAACUCUGAAACUCUGCUGGUAGGAAGAAAAACAUUUAAAGAUUGCAUCUCAAAGGUCUUCAAGAUCAAAAAAUAACUUAUCUAUAGACCAGUGUUCAAUAUGCAAUCUGUAAGCAGGAAAAUAGUUUGCUUUCAUUUUUUCAUUCUUCUGGAGGCAGAAUAUUGCCUCCAAAAUUAGCCUUGUUCACUCCAAAUUACUGACCUUAGCCAAAAUCAAGCCUCUUUUUUUAUAUUUUCAGAUUUUUCCCCCCAAAAGUAACCAAACAAGUAAUGGAGUAUGCCUCUUUCAAAUGUAUAGUAUACAAGACUUUGAUAUUGCCAUGAGGCUGAGCUAUCAGAAGUCAGAGUGAAAUUUUCCUUUCUCAAUCCCAUUUUUUAAAGUUAUUUCUUUUGAAAAUAAUACAUCAAACUUUACCCAAACCCAAUUUCUCCCCCAUAUUUAAACUGUAGCUAAAUCUUGGAAAAUACAGUGUAGCUAAGUUUUGGAAGACAGUGUUUUUUAAUCUGCCAUCACAAUCAAAGGACCUACAUUAAUGAAAAGGGAGAGUGUUAGGUCAGGCACUUCUGGUUUCUGUAACAGUCACCUGGUUUCCUUCUAUAUUUACAUAUUUUUCAGAAACAGAAUUCCAAGUGUUUUGCCCUUGGGACUUAGUCCAGAGUUAUGUUUGUGAUUACUCUGUCAUAUAUUAUCACAUUCAUGACUGUCCAUCAAAAAAUUGAAUAAUUUCUACGUAGUAAACUACAGAAUUUCUUACAGCAUGUAUUGCUGUCUUCACUGGUUCCAGUGAAACCAUUUCUCCAUUUGUUGUGGGGAGGGAAAGAUCCCCUCCUUCAGGAGUGUUUCUUGGCUGAUUGAGGCAGGUAUCUUUUUUUGUCAUUUGUAGCUGAUGGUCACUGUGGCUUCAUUUUCCACACUGCUGGCAGUUGUUUCUGUAUAGCAUCUAAGGGAAUUUCUUCUUCCACACUCAUUUUUGGGAAUAGCCUUGUAUCUUAAUUAUUCUCCUCUCAACCUGUCCUCACACCUCAUCUCACAAUGAAGGAGAUCCUGUUCCCCUUUCUGGUUCCACCACAAUGCUCCACAACUGUUUCCUCUGCCUCCAUCGGAGCUCAGCACUCCCCCACAUGACAUUGCAAAACCUCCUCAGGGAUGAAGACCUCCUCUAUUUAUAGAGCACUGAGGCUAGAUGAAAGUUUCCAGAGAGUUUUCUGGAAGAGCUCACAUCUAGCUGCUCUGAAGGCAUUCAAAGGGAAAUGAGUUUCCAUCUUGCUUUAGAACUUUGCCCAGCAUCUAACAAUCACUAAACCUUUGCAGUACAGUAUGUAGUGCACCAGGCAUGUGUUUGAUGUUAUACAUUGACAUUUAUGAACCUCUGAAAACUUUUCUUCCUGACAAGCUUGGGGCAGAUUCUCUACCAUGAACUCAUAUUCUCAAUUGAUUUUUGUCCUAGGUCUGUGAUUCAGAGCUAUCUUAUGAUAACAGAGAAGAAAAACUGUUUUUAGCUUUGUGCUGUGAUUUUUCCUUAAAAGAUUGAGGUUGAUAUUUUUAAAUCAAAAAUAAGGUUCCAUUAACAAAUGCACUGUUGCAUGUUGCUCCACAAAGAUAUGAUUCAGCAUUUUUUUUACUUAUGCCACAAGUCAAAUACAGAAUAUGCUUUAAAAUAGUGGCUAAAUAAAUGGCUAUAGCUGCAACUAAAAUAAGGCAGGAGUCAGGCUGGCUUCACAGGCGGCAUAUCCACAAACACAGUCUGUGUGCUUAUAUGAGAUGACCAUGUUCAGCCUCUGAAACUGAUAAGCUGCUGUUUAUUAAAAAAAAAAAAAAAAAAAAAAAAAA